AUCCAGCUGACGAGUCCCAAAUAGGACGAAGUGGCGCGUCCUGGAU
rfam:Schistosoma rodhaini strain Burundi genome assembly, scaffold: SROB_scaffold0004438